ACAGAUCGUUCAGAGUUUGAUCCUGGCUCAGGAUGAACGCUGGCGGCAUGCCUAAUACAUGCAAGUCGAACGGAGUGAAGCCUUCGGGUUUCAUUCAGUGGCGAACGGGUGAGUAAUACGCAGGGAACCUGGCCAUGGCAGGGGGAUACACUCUGGAAACGGAGCAUAAGACCCCAUAGGCAGUAAGGCGGCAUCGCCUUACUGUUAAAGAAAGCUGAAAGGCUUUGGCGAUGGAUGGACCUGCGGUGCAUUAGCUUGUUGGUGAGGCAACGGCUUACCAAGGCGAUGAUGCAUAGCCGGCCUGAGAGGGCGGACGGCCACACUGGGACUGAGACACGGCCCAG
rnacentral:rRNA from 1 species